UACGUAGGGGGCGAGCGUUGUCCGGAUUUAUUGGGCGUAAAGAGCGUGUAGGCGGCCUGGAAGGUCCGUUGUGAAAACUCGAGGCUCAACCUCGAGACGCCGAUGGAAACCACCUGGCUAGAGUCCGGAAGAGGAGAGUGGAAUUCCUGGUGUAGCGGUGAAAUGCGCAGAUAUCAGGAAGAACACCCGUGGCUAAGGCGGCUCUCUAGUACGGUACUGACGCUGAGACGCGAAAGCGUGGGGAGCGAACAGG
rnacentral:rRNA from 1 species